rnacentral:rRNA from 1 species
AUUGAACGCUGGCGGCAGGCCUAACACAUGCAAGUCGAGCGGAUGAAGGGAGCUUGCUCCUGGAUUCAGCGGCGGACGGGUGAGUAAUGCCUAGGAAUCUGCCUGGUAGUGGGGGAUAACGUCCGGAAACGGGCGCUAAUACCGCAUACGUCCUGAGGGAGAAAGUGGGGGAUCUUCGGACCUCACGCUAUCAGAUGGGCCUAGGUCGGAUUAGCUAGUUGGUGGGGUAAAGGCCUACCAAGGCGACGAUCCGUAACUGGUCUGAGAGGAUGAUCAGUCACACUGGAACUGAGACACGGUCCAGACUCCUACGGGAGGCAGCAGUGGGGAAUAUUGGACAAUGGGCGAAAGCCUGAUCCAGCCAUGCCGCGUGUGUGAAGAAGGUCUUCGGAUUGUAAAGCACUUUAAGCUGGGAGGAAGGGCAGUAAGUUAAUACCUUGCUGUUUUGACGUUACCAACAGAAUAAGCACCGGCUAACUUCGUG